GCGCUGCGCCGCGCAGGCGCAGACUGCCACUUUCCCCCCGCAGGAGACCGGGGGAAUCGUCCUGCGAUCUCCAGGAUCCCGUGCCUGACCGCCGGGGUCUUCAGAGAGGGUCUUUGUAAGUUGCUUUGGACCUUGCUAAAUUGCUGAGGCUCGUCUUGAACUUGCAAUCCUCCUGCCUUAGCCUCCCAAGUCACUGAGAUUACAGGUAUGUGCCACUAUGCCCAGCUCCUUUACACUUUUUGAGACAGGGUCUCACAGAGUUGCCCAGGCUGGCUUUGAACUUGUGAUCCUCCUGCCUCAGCCUCUUGAGUGGCUGGGAUUACAGGUAUGUGUUACUGUGCCUGGCUCUGAGAUUUUUUAGAACUUCAUUUAUCUUCAUAAUUUCAAAAGAGGACAAUAAAGCCAACAAGGAUGGGAGAUGGUUCUAAAGUAGAAUUAAAUAAAUGAGCCAGACUGUAUUUGAAAUGAGAGACAGUCACACUGCAGGAAGUAGGGGGAGCUGAUCCUAGAGCAUUGAGCCCAGAACCUUGACACCCUGACCUCAGGUCACAGACAACAGGAACUACAGAUAAACGCUCAACUCUGGCCAGACGUGGCUUUCCCACUGCAGUCCAGCCUUCAUGGGAACAAGCAAAUAGAUAACUAUGUUGAAAACAAAGAAGAAACCCCACACUGUUGGAUGGGGGACACUGGGAUAAGCUUCUGGUCUCUGUGCAGCAUGAGGACGUGUUCACAUGCCACACGGCACACACACUUCCAAGUUCAUCAGCCAACAGGACUGAGAAGCACAAGCACACCCAGAAGCCAGACCAUGGCUUGUAAAGGCCACUCUCCACUAGAAGGAAGCAGGCUGUCCAAGAAUGGACAGGUCAAGCAGAGUAUGGAGUUGACCUGCCUCAGUCAAAGUCAUAGGAGCCAGCCCAGGGCUUCCACAGGCCACCCAAGCUGGUGUGAGCAAAACCAACAGCGAUAAUGAAGGAUUGUCUUCUGAAGGAGGAGCCAGUGAACCCAUCUGACAUAAAGAACAGAAAUGGAGAGGGAAAAGCCCCUCCUUCCACUGGAAAGUCAACGGCACAAUUAGGCACUGUCUGCCAAAGGUCAAAAAGAGCCACUGUGACGCACACCUGCAGUCCCAGAUACUCAGAGGCUGUGGCAGGAGGAUCUCUUGAGCCCAGGAGUUUGUGGCCAGGCCAUGUAGCACAACAAGCAAUCAUACAUUCAGGCAAAAUUUAGCAAGAACUACUGAGGUGAGGCAAAAAGAUUAAGGAGUACAGAUAUCUGCAGAGUGUUCAUCUCCCUCCUCAGACACCUGCUGACGACAGAGGAAUAGGCACUGUCUGCAGAGAUGCAUCCAGAGGCGUCAAGCGGCCAUGCUGGGACAAAACAACACACUGUGUCCCCCACCUGACAGCUCCCUCCAUGCCAGAAGUGCGGCCCAGAGCACCUUCAGGCAGAACACACCUGCAUGGGGCAGUCUGCUCACAUGCCAGGGCCAAACAGCCCAUGUCUGAGGGAUGAAUGUCCUGGAGGAGCCGUACAGGGCCUACAUGCAGUGCAUUGUCACUAGCGCCUUCUGUGAUGCCCUCCCAGCCUGUGAGCACACGCCCUAGUAUCAGUAAACAUGUCUGGGUGAAGGUAUCGCCUGCCCCUUACUGUCAAGGCAACUGAGGGCGUGCACAUGCGGAGGAAGGAAAAAGCAGACAUGAGAAAAUGUUCAUGUUUAGGAAAUCUAAAAAAUUAUUUGCCUCAUUCUCUCAACUUUCUGUUUAAGUUGGGCUAAAAUAAAACCUAAAGAAAGCUGUG